rnacentral:rRNA from 1 species
GGCCUAACACAUGCAAGUCGAGCGGAAACGACACUAACAAUCCUUCGGGUGCGUUAAUGGGCGUCGAGCGGCGGACGGGUGAGUAAUGCCUAGGAAAUUGCCUUGAUGUGGGGGAUAACCAUUGGAAACGAUGGCUAAUACCGCAUGAUGCCUACGGGCCAAAGAGGGGGACCUUCGGGCCUCUCGCGUCAAGAUAUGCCUAGGUGGGAUUAGCUAGUUGGUGAGGUAAUGGCUCACCAAGGCGACGAUCCCUAGCUGGUCUGAGAGGAUGAUCAGCCACACUGGAACUGAGACACGGUCCAGACUCCUACGGGAGGCAGCAGUGGGGAAUAUUGCACAAUGGGCGAAAGCCUGAUGCAGCCAUGCCGCGUGUAUGAAGAAGGCCUUCGGGUUGUAAAGUACUUUCAGUUGUGAGGAAGGGUGUGUAGUUAAUAGCUGCGCAUCUUGACGUUAGCAACAGAAGAAGCACCGGCUAACUCCGUGCCAGCAGCCGCGGUAAUACGGAGGGUGCGAGCGUUAAUCGGAAUUACUGGGCGUAAAGCGCAUGCAGGUGGUUCAUUAAGUCAGAUGUGAAAGCCCGGGGCUCAACCUCGGAACUGCAUUUGAAACUGGUGAACUAGAGUGCUGUAGAGGGGGGUAGAAUUUCAGGUGUAGCGGUGAAAUGCGUAGAGAUCUGAAGGAAUACCAGUGGCGAAGGCGGCCCCCUGGUCAGAUACUGACACUCAGAUGCGAAAGCGUGGGGAGCAAACAGGAUUUAGAUACCCUG